rnacentral:rRNA from 1 species
GACGAACGCUGGCGGCGUGCUUAACACAUGCAAGUCGAACGGAAAGGCCUGCUUUCCCUUGUGGAUUGCGGGUACUCGAGUGGCGAACGGGUGAGUAACACGUGAGUGAUCUGCCCCCAACUUGGGUAUAAGCCUGGGAAACUGGGUCUAAUUCCCGAUAGGACUGCAGGGUGGUGCCUGUGGUGGAAAACGAUUUUCUAGUGGUUGGGGAUGAGCUCGCGGCCUAUCAGCUUGUUGGUGGGGUAAUGGCCUACCAAGGCGGCGACGGGUAGCCGGCCUGAGAGGGUGGACGGCCACAUUGGGACUGAGAUACGGCCCAGACUCCUACGGGAGGCAGCAGUGGGGAAUAUUGCACAAUGGGCGGAAGCCUGAUGCAGCGACGCCGCGUGGGGGAUGACGGACUUCGGGUUGUAAACUCCUUUCGACCGCGAGGAAGCCACCUGGUUGGAAGGGUGGUGACGGUAGUGGUAGAAGAAGCACCGGCUAACUACGUG